rnacentral:lncRNA from 1 species
CAAAGGUUAAUAGGUAUGUAUGUAUGUAUGUGUGUGUGUGUGUAUAUAUUUAAGUGGUUGUUGGGGAGUUGUAGGAUUUAUGCUACAAAUAUUUAGAAAGUGCAUUUCCUAAACACCUAUUAUCUUCAUUUAUACUUUUGCUUGCUUGCCUUCCGCACCCCUCCAUUUUCCCUCCCAUCUCCCUCCCUCCCUUGCUGGGGAUGCAACCAGGGCCUAAUGCUACGCAGCCUCUACUGUAGAGCUGUAUCUUCAUCCUGACUUAAGUUUUCUUAACACAUAGUUGGUUUAGAAUGUGAGUUCUAACCAUUCUAAAUUCUGAUUCUUUACCAGGAGAGAAAGAAAGAAAGGCAGGCAGGCAGAGGGAAGAAAUCAGGAGGACUUGGUCAUUCAACAACAGGCAGGGUCAUCUGUAGAACGGUUGUGCUGUAGUGCUCUACCACUGAGCCACACCCCACCCUCUUUGUUCUCCUGAGUAGGAUUUAAAUUGUUAGUGUUUCAAGAUAUCUGAUGUGCAACUUGUAAAAUAGUCAUUUAAUAAACACUACAGGAUAGAUAUUUUCCCGAUGUAUUAAACUAACUCCUCUAUUAGCUUGCUGACUCCAUGAGCAUUUAUUCUGGUUCAUGAACCAGAUAAUAUUUCCAUAGCUCAUUGCAUUCUUUUAUGUGGGCAAACACAUGGCAUCUUUAAAAGCUGACAGCUGCAGUUCCCUGGAACACCAAAUGCUUUUCUCAAGUCCACAAAUUUAUCUUUUACACUCUGAAAAGUAAAACAGAACUCUGCCAAGUCCAUCUUGAUUUGAAGGAAUGUGCAAAACUGCUGUUUUGUUGUCAGAGAUAUAUUUAUAUAUCUCAGUUCAUUCUUUAUUAGACCAAAAAUUUUAUGGAUUGGGAAUGGUUUUUGAAAGUCAUGACAUAUUUUAGAUUCCAUUGGACCCAUUUAGCAUCAUGUGAUUGCUUUAAAUACAAGUUAAACACAUCAAAAACAGAAGUAAAGCCUUUCAUAACACUGUGGACAGUCUUGUUUGCCCAAGACUUAAGUCAUUGUGGCAUGUGACGCAUUUGACAUUUGAGAUUUAUUGACGGAGACAGGUAUUUUAAAUUUAAAGAUCUUUUAUUAAGAUGUGUACAAUUCUUUUUCUAACUAGUAUCCUUUAAUCCUCUAACAGGGAUUGGUUAAUAUACUUUUUAAAAACAUUAAAAAAAUUUUUUUUUAGUUGUAGAUGGAUUUAUUUAUUUCUAUGUGUGCUGAGGAUUGAACCCAGUGCCUCAC